rnacentral:ncRNA from 2 species
UGAGGGGUACGCGACUGGCGAUAGGCGCUAUGCCCUGCGGGCAUUGCCGCUGACGUGGAAACCGGCGAGAACCUGCUUCUUGCAAACCACUGGGGAGCGUGCCGCGAAGGCGUCAGGCCUUUGUGUUCAGCCGUUCGCCUGGGCAGCCCUU